rnacentral:lncRNA from 1 species
AAUGCACUCGGAGGGCCGAGUUUGCACGCGACGCGGGGUCUGUGCGGAGCACCCCCAGCAAUGCGCAAUGCACUCGAGAGGGGCGGGUUUGCACGCGGCGCGGGGUACCCCCAGCACUCGGGAGGGGCGAGUUUGCACGCGGCGCGGGGUCUGUGCGGAGCACCCCCAGCACUGCGCAAUGCACUCGAGAGGGGCGGGUUUGCACGCGGCGCGGGGUACCCCCAGCACUCCGGAGGGGCGAGUUUGCACGCGGCGCGGGGUACCCCCAGCACUGCGCAAUGCACUCGGGAGGGCCGGGUUUGCACGCGGCGCGGGGUACCCCCAGCACUCGGGAGGGGCGAGUUUGCACGCGGCGCGGGGUCUGUGCGGAGCACCCCCAGCACUGCGCAAUGCACUCGAGAGGGGCGGGUUUGCACGCGGCGCGGGGUACCCCCAGCACUCCGGAGGGGCGAGUUUGCACGCGGCGCGGGGUACCCCCAGCACUGCGCAAUGCACUCGGGAGGGCCGGGUUUGCACGCGGCGCGGGGUACCCCCAGCACUCGGGAGGGGCGAGUUUGCACGCGGCGCGGGGUCUGUGCGGAGCACCCCCAGCACUGCGCAAUGCACUCGAGAGGGGCGGGUUUGCAGGCGGCGCGGAGUAUGUACAGGGUAUCCCCAGCACUGCGCAUGCACUCGAGAGGGGCGGGUUUGCACGCGGCGCGGGGUACCCCCAGCACUGCGCAAUGCACUCGGGAGGGGCGGGUUUGCGCGCGGCGCGAGGUCCGUGCGGGGCAUCCCCAGCACUGCGCAAGGCACUCGGGAGGGCUUUGCACGCGGCGCGGGGUCUGUGCAGGGUCACCUUUGCACGCGGUCUGUGCGGAGCACCCCAGCAUUGCGCAAUGCACUCCGGAGGGCCAAGUUUGCAUGUGGUACUGCACGGGGUCUGCGGGGCACCCCCUGCACUGCGCAAUGCACUCGGGAGGUCUUUGCACACGGCGCGGGCUCUGUGCGGGGCAGUGAUUUCCCUACACCCCCCCUGAAUUUCCCCAACACCCCCCCANNNNNNNNNNNNNNNNNNNNNNNNNNNNNNN